GAUGAACGCUAGCGGGAGGCUUAAUACAUGCAAGUCGAGGGGCAGCAGUUCUGAAUUUCGGUUUAGAAGCUGGCGACCGGCGAACGGGUGAGUAACGCGUACGCAAUCUACCUUCAAGAACGGGAUAGCCCUGGGAAACUGGGAUUAAUACCGUAUGUGAUAUAUUUUUCGCAUGGAAGAUAUAUUAAAAUUCAGGUGCCUGGAGAUGAGCGUGCGUGCUAUUAGCUAGUUGGUGAGGUAGAGGCUCACCAAGGCGACGAUAGCUAGGGGGCGUGAGAGCGUGAUCCCCCACACGGGUACUGAGACACGGACCCG
rnacentral:rRNA from 1 species